GGCUUCGAAACUCAGCUGGUAGAGCCACGUUGAGGCAUAGCGUUUCUGUCGCUAGUUCGAAUCCGGCCGAAGCCC